rnacentral:rRNA from 1 species
AGUAGGGAAUCUUGCGCAAUGGGCGAAAGCCUGACGCAGCCAUGCCGCGUGAAUGAUGAAGGUCUUAGGAUUGUAAAAUUCUUUCACCGGGGACGAUAAUGACGGUACCCGGAGAAGAAGCCCCGGCUAACUUCGUGCCAGCAGCCGCGGUAAUACGAAGGGGGCUAGCGUUGCUCGGAAUUACUGGGCGUAAAGGGCGCGUAGGCGGAUAGUUUAGUCAGAGGUGAAAGCCCAGGGCUCAACCUUGGAAUUGCCUUUGAUACUGGCUAUCUUGAGUAUGGAAGAGGUAUGUGGAACUCCGAGUGUAGAGGUGAAAUUCGUAGAUAUUCGGAAGAACACCAGUGGCGAAGGCGACAUACUGGUCCAUUACUGACGCUGAGGCGCGAAAGCGUGGGGAGCAAA